rnacentral:rRNA from 1 species
AAGACCUCACGUUAUUGGAGUGGCCUACGGCUGAUUAGCUAGUUGGUGAGGUAAAGGCUCACCAAGGCGACGAUCAGUAGCUGGUCUGAGAGGAUGAUCAGCCACACUGGAACUGAGACACGGUCCAGACUCCUACGGGAGGCAGCAGUGGGGAAUUUUGGACAAUGGGGGCAACCCUGAUCCAGCCAUUCCGCGUGAGUGAAGAAGGCCUUCGGGUUGUAAAGCUCUUUCAGCAGGGAAGAAACGGUUACGGCUAAUACCUGUGACUAAUGACGGUACCUGCAGAAGAAGCACCGGCUAACUACGUGCCAGCAGCCGCGGUAAUACGUAGGGUGCGAGCGUUAAUCGGAAUUACUGGGCGUAAAGCGUGCGCAGGCGGUUUUGUAAGUCAGAUGUGAAAGCCCCGGGCUCAACCUGGGAAU